CAGUCGCCGCGGUAAUACGUAGGUGGCAAGCGUUGUCCGGAAUUAUUGGGCGUAAAGGGCACGCAGGCGGUUUCUUAAGUCUGAUGUGAAAGCCCCCGGCUCAACCGGGGAGGGUCAUUGGAAACUGGGAAACUUGAGUGCAGAAGAGGAGAGUGGAAUUCCACGUGUAGCGGUGAAAUGCGUAGAGAUGUGGAGGAACACCAGUGGCGAAGGCGACUCUCUGGUCUGUAACUGACGCUGAGGAGCGAAAGCGUGGGGAGCGAACAGGAUUAGAUACCCCCGUAGUCCCUGUCUCUUAUAC
rnacentral:rRNA from 1 species